UACGUAGGGUGCGAGCGUUAAUCGGAAUUACUGGGCGUAAAGCGUGCGUAGGCGGUUCGUUAAGUUCGUUGUGAAAGCCCCGGGCUCAACCUGGGAACUGCAAUGGAAACUGGCGAACUGGAGUGCGGCAGAGGGGGGUGGAAUUCCGCGUGUAGCAGUGAAAUGCGUAGAGAUGCGGAGGAACACCGAUGGCGAAGGCAGCCCCCUGGGCUAGCACUGACGCUCAGGCACGAAAGCGUGGGGAGCAAACAGG
rnacentral:rRNA from 1 species